GCUGGGAUGUUGGGAAGACUUCCCUGAGGAAGUGACUCAAGCUCCAAAUGGAAGGAUGGCUGGGUAGGAGGUGACUGGGCAGACAAAGGAUGGGACCUGAUAUGGAAGAUAACCUGGUCCAGAGGAGACAAGAACCAUGCGCCCAGCUCUGAAAGCAGGUCACUCUAGCGCCCAAAGAUAUUUCCAACAAUGCUUCUGGGAUUUUAAGAAUAUGACACUAUUCAUCACUGAAGUUCCAUUUACAGAUCAUUCUGGUAAGUCAUCUUUCAGGGACCAUCGAGAGUGUGACUCAGUGGUGUGCUGAAGCAGCUCCCUUCUGCUCGCCAGAGCUGACUGUACAUAUCUCUUCCCAAUUUCACAUUCAGUGGCAUAGCCUUGGUAGCUUGAAAUUGGUCAUGGUGGGAGUAUUUACACCGAAGAAAUUGGUGAACAAAUUCAGACUUUUUUUUUUCUUGCAGAGCCCAUGUUAAACAGUUACUAGUAGGGUACUGAGCAUGAAGCACUUCUCACAGCCCUGGAGAGGUUACCCAAUUCAUAGUGCAGCAUAAGUCUUCUUGAAAAAGUUGAAUUUAUGACAAUGUGACAUGGUGGCCUUUGGAUUCUGCCAGAGAGAGCUGGGGAGAGACACUGCCGACCCACCAGAGAGAAGGAACUGAAGAUCAGAGGUAUUAAGUAAUUUACCCAAAGUCACACAACUCCACGGGAGCCAGUACUCAGGGAACCUUUUGCUACAUUUAUUCCAUUCACUCCAAGUCCUUUAGGUUUAUGGAGAAGGAACAUGCAACAAUAUGCUGUUGGAGCCAGUAAAUUCCUUCUGCUAAAACUCUUAACCAUUGUGUCUUAGAGUGGAAUGCCAGGACAACAUGCACCAGAAAUACCUGGGGGGUUGGAUAAGGGUCAGUUUCUCAACUAUGCUCCAUAGUAGGUCUCUGUGUGGGAAAUCGACAACCAGGCACCUCUGGUUAAUUUUGUUUAGGAGCUUUCAAGGACCUGUUUAAAACUUUACCUUAUAAUUGGCAGAGAUAAGCCCACAAAUCUCGAGUGUAGAGCUAGAAUUAUUAUAAAGUACGCACAUUUUAACCUGAGUAAACCUAUGUAGCAAUCAGUCAGAUCAAGAUAGAGGAGGAGGAAGUUUCCCUCUGCGUCAUCCCAGAGGUAACUGCUAUUCUGAAUAUUACCAUGGACUCGUUUUGCCUGGUUUUGAACCUCACAGAUGUGGAAUCAUACUGUUCUGCUGUUGUGCCUGUUUUCUUUCAAUUACAUUGUUUUUGCAAUUUAUCCAUGUUACUGUAUGUGCCAGUUUUUAUUGUUGGUAAUAUUCUAUUG